AGCAGCCGCGGUAAUUCCAGCUCCAAUAGCGUAUAUUAAAGUUGUUGCAGUUAAAAAGCUCGUAGUUGAAUUUCAGGCCUGGCUGGACGGUCCGCCCUUCGGGUGAGUACUGUCUGUGGUCGGGUCCUACCUUCUGGCGAAGCGUCACGGCCUUAACCGGCCGUGGCGGGGAACCAGGACUUUUACUGUGAAAAAAUUAGAGUGUUCAAAGCAGGCAAUCGCUUGGAUACAUUAGCAUGGAAUAAUGGAAUAGGACAAUGGUUCUAUUUGUUGGUUUCUAGGACCGUUGUAAUGAUUAAUAGGGAUAGUUGGGGGCAUUAGUAUUCAAUUGUCAGAGGUGAAAUUCCUGGAUUUAUUGAAGACUAACUACUGCGAAAGCAUUUGCCAAGGAUGUUUUCAUUAAUCAAGAACGAAAGUUAGGGGAUCGAAGACGAUCAGAUACCGUCGUAGUCCUAACCAUAAACUAUGCCGACUAGGAAUCGGGCGAUGUUGAAAAAAUGACGC
rnacentral:rRNA from 1 species